CCGCACGCCCGCUCCGCCGGUUUACUUCUCCCGAAUCCAGUAGCACGCCGCGAGCCCCCGGCUUGCCCUCCCCGAAGGCCGUCCCGGACUGGUAGGCCCGACUCCUCGCGGGUCGGGACGACGACCGGCGGCGGCUCGGGACUGGGAGGGCCCGGGGGUCACUGCAAGGAGCCUCCGUGAGGAGCCUCUCGCGGCGAUGAAUCGGUCGUCCACCCGACCCGUCUUGAAACACGGACCAAGGAGUCCAACAAAGGCGCGAGUCGAAGGGUCGCUUCAGACCCGGAGGCGAAAUGAAAGUGAGCCGUUUGAAUUCCAAAGGCAGGCCGAUCCCCGGCCGGCGCUGUUCAGCGCCGCGCAGGACGGACUCAGCCCCGGCCCGCCCCUCCGUGGGCGGUUGCUCGAGGGCGGCCCUGGCCUGCGCGGCCCGGCGUCCGGCGCCGGGGCCGCGGUCAAGGCUUCGGUUCCCCUCACGGGGUUCCGGGGCCCGCCGCGGCCUUUUGGCGAGCCAUGACCUGGCAGGGGCGCAGGCCGAGGACUUGCCGCCCAGCGGGCCGGGCGACAGGUGCCCUCAGCCCCUCUCGGGGGGCGGGGCGCCCUAACCCGGUCAUUCUCCGCUGGCAAGUACCUGGGAGCGCCGACGUUGGGACCCGAAAGAUGGUGAACUAUGCCUGGCAAGGACGAAGCCAGAGGAAACUCUGGUGGAGGUCCGAAGCAGUUCUGACGUGCAAAUCGAUUGUCAGAGCUGGGUAUAGGGGCGAAAGACUAAUCGAACCAUCUAGUAGCUGGUUCCCUCCGAAGUUUCCCUCAGGAUAGCUGGCGCUCGUGAUGAACGAGUUUCAUCCGGUAAAGCGAAUGACUAGAGGCCUUGGGGGUGCAAUGCCUUCAACCUAUUCUCAAACUUUAAAUGGGUGAGACCUGGAGCUUGCUUGAUCUCAUGAAGCUCUAUGAUGAACGAGAAUCGGAGUGCCUAGUGGGCCACUUUUGGUAAGCAGAACUGGCGCUGUGGAUGAACCAAACGCACGAGUUAAGGGGCCAAAAGGAACGCUAAUGUAGACACUACGAAAAGGUGUUGGUUGCUAUAGACAGCAGGUCGGUGGCCAUGGAAGUCGGAACCCGCUAAGGAGUGUGUAACAACUCACCUGCCGAAGCAACUAGCCCUUAAAAUGGUAUGGCGCUGAAGCGUUCUCCCGAUACUCGGCCGCUGGGGCAGUGAUCGGCCCGGCCCCGGACUCCGGGGGCCGGAUCUCGAGGCCCCAGCGAGUAGGAGGGUCGCCGCGGUGCGCGUCGAAGGGACCUCGGCGCGAGCCGGCCCGGAGCCGCCGCGAGCGCAGAUCUUGGUGGUAGUAGCAAAUAAUCAAGAGAGAACCUCGUUGACUGAUGUGGAGAAGGGUUCCAUGUCAACAUCAGUUGAACAUGGGUGAGUCAGACCUAAGCCCAAGGAUAAACUUCCUGUGUCCCAUGUGUUCCGCAGGCGGCCCAGACCAAGCGGUCGGUAGAGGCUAGACAAGCCCUGGUGGCUGCUGAGCAGUCCUGCACGGGGGGGAAUAUAAAAGAAUGGCCAAGGCAGAGAGAAGUUCUAAUCCAAGGGGGGUGGUGGUGGUGACAAAAAACCUGGCGGGCACGCCGUGGUGUUCAGAGUGAGAGCUAGUCUAAGAGCACUAGGAGUCGUGGAAAUAAAUAAAAGGGAGUGAGAGAGAGACAGAGAAGCCCUCCGUCAGUCAACAACACCACACGCAGAGAGAUUAUUUUUCGAUAAUUUGGUCGGACCAACCUUGAACCCCUGGUGUAUGUGGGGGUGAGGCAAAGACCAGUGGCAAACAAUUUUUGAAGGCAAAAAGAUUUAAACC
rnacentral:rRNA from 1 species